rnacentral:rRNA from 1 species
CCUACGGGAGGCAGCAGUGGGGAAUAUUGCACAAUGGGCGAAAGCCUGAUGCAGCGACGCCGCGUGAGGGAUGACGGCCUUCGGGUUGUAAACCUCUUUCAGCAGGGAAGAAGCGCAAGUGACGGUACCUGCAGAAGAAGCACCGGCUAACUACGUGCCAGCAGCCGCGGUAAUACGUAGGGUGCGAGCGUUGUCCGGAAUUAUUGGGCGUAAAGAGCUCGUAGGCGGCUUGUCACGUCGGAUGUGAAAGCUCGGGGCUUAACCCCGAGUCUGCAUUCGAUACGGGCUAGCUAGAGUGUGGUAGGGGAGAUCGGAAUUCCUGGUGUAGCGGUGAAAUGCGCAGAUAUCAGGAGGAACACCGGUGGCGAAGGCGGAUCUCUGGGCCAUUACUGACGCUGAGGAGCGAAAGCGUGGGGAGCGAACAGGAUUAGAUACCCUGGUAGUCCACGCCGUAAACGUUGGGAACUAGGUGUUGGCGACAUUCCACGUCGUCGGUGCCGCAGCUACGCAUAGUUACCCGUCCGUCGGGAGGUACGGCCGCGACGGACGUAAACGUUAAAGUAGUUAAGUUAGUACGGCGUUGAGACGUUGCCGACGGACGACGACGAGGGAGGAGG